rnacentral:lncRNA from 1 species
GCAUUCGAGGGAGCAAAUGCAAGAGCUGGUUGAGAAAAUGAAGAGUGUUCUUGUGCAGAAUGUGGGAUAGCUAGAAAUGCUGAUGUGGUACUUUUAUGGGUUCGUGCUCUAUGUUGGGCACCUGCCGUACCGUACAUCCGCCUUGGCCGUACAGCAGAAGCCACUAAAUUUUAAUUGUUGGCAUAAUGUUGGCAUAAUAACAUUAAUGAAUGUUUCAAGACUUAUAAUUAAUUCUUAUUAAUGGUUACAUAUUGUUGAAUUUAAAUAGAAAGAGGAAGAGACCUUGUAAUCUUUUGUAAUAUAAUAAUUAUUUUUUAUUUUUAAUAUUUUGUAAUGUAAUUAUCUUUUAAUCUCAACCAAUAUCUUAGAUAAUAGAGAAUAUAAGAAAAUGAGAAAUAAUGAUAUCACAUCACCUCUCGUAGUCCCAACUUUUAUAUAGGGAAAUUAUCAUUUUACUACUAAAGUUUUACUGACAUAUCAUAUCAGUAUUAAGGUUUGCCGAAAAGUACAUUUUACUACCAAAGUUUUGCGUCGUUAUCAAUUCACUACCAUUCCGUUAAGAAAAAAUUAAUGUUUGACGGAAAUUGAGUUAAAAGUCGAUUUUACCCCCAAGAGUUUAGUAGUAAAAUGAUAAUUCCCCUAAAAAUUCGGUAAUAAAAUGAUAAUUCCCCUAAAAAUUCGGCAGUAAAAUGAUAAUUCUCCUAAAAAUUUGGUAGUAAAAUGAUAAUUUAUUUAUCAAAUUAACAGAUAUUUUACUCUUACAGCUGGAAAUGUCUUUGAUGCUCUUAUGACAUCAACAAAUUUUUAACGUUGUUAACAGAAUAGUAGUGAAUUGAUAACGGCACAAAAUUUUGGUAGUAAAAUACACUUUUUGGCAAACAUUGGUACUGACAUGAUAUGUCAGUAAAACUUUAGUAAUAAAAUGAUAAUAACCCUUAUAUAUAUACAUACAUACAUACAUAUAGAUUUAAGUCAUUAUCGCUUUAUAUAUCGAUCUAUCAAAGAAUUUGGUCAAACUGUAAGAGCAUUUCUAUAGUUUGUUCUCAUCACUGAUAUUCUUUUCGACACAUUUUAUAUUACUUCAAUAAAUUAUAUUCGGAUUAACUUAGAGCAGCUUUGUGACUGUUUUUUUAAAAUUUGGAGGAAAUUAUGUGAAUUUUAAAUUGAGGUCAAUGAUGACUAUUUUAUGUAAUAGAAGAGCUUCCUACAUCUACAUAGGGCCUCAAGAUUGACUCUAUAUAUAUAUAAGUGACAAAUUAAAUAGAUGAAAUGUAACUGUAAACAGCACGAGGCAUGUUAAGUAAUUUGACAAGCGAAGUGACAACACUUUUGUGUUGUUACAAUUAUCUGCCAUACACCUAAUUUGUUAAUGAGUAGAGUUGCAUUAUUAAUGUUAGUUGCUUGCAGCUUUCAGGCACAUAACAAAUGGCCUACAUUUUUUAUUAAUUUUGUUGAAUUUAUGUGUUGUUUCACAUUGAUGGUGAAUCAUCAAUUUCCCAAGCUUUCCUCAAAACAGGAGAUGCACACAAAUCUGCAAUAUUUAGACAUUUUUAUUCAAUGUCUGUUUUUCAAAAGCUUUUUAGCCAUGUGUUUGCCGCAAAAAUUCGAUGAAUGUUUUUUUUUUUUGUGAUUUUUUUUUCAUAUGCAAUUGCAAGUUGAGAAAAUAUCUCUGGAAAUAUAUGCUUACACCAAUACAGUAUUCCAAUCUUAUCAGUAUAUUGACCAUACAACCAAACGUGUGGACAUGCAUGUAGCUGGUGCAAGUUUAUUCAUAUUAAGUAAUGAGCUUGUUAUUUUUAUAAAAAAUUUGAGCCAUUAAUCUCAUGUCAUAUAACAGUAAAUAUUCAAAAUCAAAAGUUCCAUUUAAUCAUACCAAUAUAAUAAUGGAUUACACGUGAUUAAUGGUUCAAAAUUUGUUUUAGAAAGUUCAGUUAAAAAUAACUUUAUCCAGUAAGUAAUAACAUGUAUGUAUAUAUUUUUUUAUUUAUCGGUAUCAAUAGAUGUAAAUAGUGAAUUAUCUUGAGAUAGUACAAGAAGCUUGGAAUUGAAAUUAACCACACUUGGAUCUGACUGCACUUGCAUACUCUUCAAAUCAAAUGAAUAGCAUAUAUGGCAGUCAUUUCAACUAUGGAAAGCAACUCUUUGCUCUAGGAAUUGAGAUCCUUUCAAUAUAAUUUUAAAGAAAACUUCAAACGUAGUGCACUUGCAGAAUCUAACCAAAACCGAACUUGGUUCUUUCAAAAAGUAAUUUGUAUCCAUUCUGUACCAGACAAAGAUGGCCAAGUUGUUUGAUUUUUUUUUUUUUAUAUGAAUUUGAGAAAACUGAUCUUAUGUCUAACAAAUUGAUAUGAUGUUUUCUUAUAAAAGAAACAAGAAAAAAAAGUGAUUCUCACAAAUGUGGACACCACUAAAUAGCUUACCUAUAUAUAUGAAAGAAUCCCUCUAUAUUUAGUUUGAGUUAGGAUUCAAGCAAUACGUUUUAUUUUUAUAUGUAUUUGCCCAAGAAGUUGGCAGGGAAUCCAAACAAGUUUGGAGUGAUUUGGUUUGCUACUUCUUUAAUCAUGAUUAAACAAUUUUGAAUGCUCUUAAUACAACUACUGAAAAUUAAAAAAAUAUAUAUAUUAAAAAGGAAUGUAAAAAUAAAUAAAGAAACGUGCAGGAGAGUGCAAGGAGAAAGAGAUUCCGUGUUCUGAUAAAAAUUGAAACGAAUAUGAUUUUUUUUUUUUAAAUUUAGUCAAACAAAUUAUAGGACUUAAAUGUUAAGUUUCAAAACCAUUAGCCUAUUUUUUAACAUACAGCAAACAUUUGGGACUACAAAUAAUUAAAUCAUAAACUGCCAAAACUGGGACCGAAGCAACAGAGUUUUGUCCAAAUUUGCAUGUUUAUUUGGAUGGUCUCUACUACAAAUAAUUAUAUCUCUAAAUGUGCAUGAAGAGAGAAUUAUUGAAAAAUGAGAAUGAGAGAUGAAAGCCACUAAUGUCAAUAUUUCGUCAUUAUUUAAACUUUGAUUUUUGAUUAACCAUUUCACUUUCGCUUUUUGUUCACGCGCACUAAACAGUAGACUAUACACACUAACAAAGAUUAGAAAAGAUACACUAUUUAGGUAGUGUUUACCUGUUGGAGUGGGAGUGUGGAGUGUGGAUUCCUCUCACUCCAGUGUUUACUUACCUUAAAAAGGGGAGUGUGGGAGUGGGAAUCCGUGGGUCCCACUCAAUUUUGGAGUGGAGAGUGGAAUUCUCACUCCCAUGGGGGGAGGUAGGAGUGGGAAUCCACUCCCCUCUCUUCCCAUUAUAUGCUUAAAUUUUGUACUAUAUUAUCAAUAAUAAUAUUUCAUUUGUGUUGCUAUUAUUAAUAAUUUUUAUUCACAUAAUUUAAAUUAAAAUUAAUAAAAAAUUAUGAUUUACAUAAUUAAGAAUAUUAGUAAUUAUUAUUAAUUUAUAAAUAUAAUAAAAUAUUUAUUUUAUUUUUCAAAUAUAUUUUUUUAUUAAUUUUUUAAUUACAAAUUAUAAUUCUGUACAUAAAGAUAAAAUUGUAAUUUAAAACAAUUUACUCCCAAUCCAAGACAAAGUAAACAAAUAAUUGAGAUUCUGAUUGACAAUCCAUACUUUUAUUUAAUCUAAGUAAACACUCUACUCUCACUCUCACUCCACACUCCUAAUUCAAAGAUUCUCACUCCAAUCCAAAAAGUAAACGCAGAGCCAUCAGUUUUAGAUGGGUUGGCCAAACCCUCCUCUUCUUUCCUUAAGCGUUUGUGUAUGAGAAUGCGUUCACCAAAUAGAAGUGCGGCAUUUGGAAGCCUUGUCAAUGAAAGCACUUGCUCUCGAAUGUGUUCAUUUCUAGAAGCACUUGCAACACCUUUUUACUCUCGAAAACUUCUUUUUGUCUGUUUGAGUUGAAGCACUACGAAGUGGGCUUGAAAGAAGUUUGUCAUUAUCCUACUUCUGAAAGCACUAUUGACAAUACUAGAAAUAUUCUCAAAAACACCCAAAAAGUUGAAAGUGAAAGCAGUUUUGAGAGGUGACCCAGAUGGGCUGUAGGUGUAUCAUAAGGCGAGAUUGCAUAGACCCAGAUUGAUCCUCCACUUUGGCCAUUUCAGCUGUAGUGAAAACAGAAGAUAUCAAAAGCUGAGGCAACCGGUGGUGCCAGCCAAAGAAUUUUUCAGUCUCAGAAAACACACUACAAUUUUUUUUUUUUUUUAAAUCUAAAGAAGAACAGAUGUCCAACAAUGGCAUGCCCAAAAAAUCAUCAAUUCGCCAGUUUCAAUCAUAUAAGAGAUGCCGAAUGAGAAACAAUGGAAACUGCACAAUUUGAAUGUCAUUGAAUGUUCUUAAUAUCAAGACGUCUUAAGCCGAAGGGUAGCUCCAAUGACUCUUUUUCCGUACCAAAUGUGAGAUUUCUAAUCUACAUAACACGUCUGUUCCCUAUAAAUGGAACUGGUUAGUGGGUGCCAAAUAAUUGGUUAGCUUGUCUGUCUUUACAAUGGUGCUGGAGUUCAUCACAGAUGCUAUCAAAUAGACAGCCAUGAUGUACCUUGAAGGAUGAAAAUCUGUUGGUAGUUAUUUUCGGGACAAAAUUAGGACAGGUAACGCAAUACUUGAUUAGCUCUUCUCAGGACCUACAAGUUGUUUUCGGCUUUCCAAAGGAGCAUAACUAUCCAUUGAACGACUGACCUGAUGAUUCUGAUGAAUUGAGAUUUAUAUUAUUAACAAGUAACAAUCCAGGUUCCCAUAUAACCUCUAAGAAAGGAACAAAAAAUUGUAGAUUUAAGAUACAAGAACUUAAUUUCCCUGUAUGCUUUUUUGUGCUAGAGGAAUGCUAACCUCUCGAGACCCUUAUGAGCUUAUUACCAAUAAUCUCUACACGAACAAGCCCCUCCUUCAAAGUGAUGGAACCGGUUUGCAUCUCUGACGAUAAUCACCCUCCUUGUUAUAGCUGAUACGUGCUUGAUAAAUGAGUGGCAGUCACCACAAACUCUCAGAUUCUUCAUAAUCCUAAUAUGAGUGCCUUCAGGUGUGGCAAUAAGGCCGAAUGCAAUUGCCAACUUCUCACUAUGUGAAUACAAAUUUCCAACCUUAACUUCUUCAUCAACAUCAUGCAACUCAAAGUUUGUAUCAGGGAUAUAACCAGCCAACUCCAAUUUCUCGCUUAACGUCACCAGCAUUCGAUAGAUUUCCUCUGACUGAGGAUGAGUAGUAUCACCAACACUAAAUUGAUGAAUUUUAUUCUCCACCUCAAUCCAAGUCCAACCAGGAAUUUUCUUUAAUCUCCUACGUGUCAUCAGAUCCCUAAUCUUUGCCACAUCUUGCCACCUACCAGCAUUUGCAUAAAUAUUGGAAAGUAGUACAUAAUGCCCUGGAUUCUGCGGCUGUAGUUCAAGUAGGGAUUUUGCAGCCAUUUCUGCUAGGUCUACAUUCUUGUGAAUUCUACAUGCUCCAAGCAAAGCACCCCAUAACCCCUCAUCUUUUUCAACACUCAUGCUUUCAAUCAAUUUCAAGGCCUCAUCAAGUCUUCCAGCACGUCCCAAAAGAUCAACCAUACAAGUAUAGUGUUUCACAUCUGGCCUAACAGCAAAAUCAUCCCACAUUGAAGAAAAAAGCCGAAGACCCUGUUCAACCAAGCCUGUGUGACUACAAGCAUAUAGCAGGGAUACAAAGGUGAUCCUGUUUGGUAAUACCCUGCUACUUAACAUCAUGGGGAACAAAUCAAGAGCUUUCUUUCCCUGCCCAUGAUACCCAUAAGCUGCAAUCAUUGCACUCCAAGAAAUUACAUUCUUUUGUCGCAUCCUAUCAAAGAUUUCCCUUGCAGAAUCAAUACUCCCACACUUAGCAUACAUAUCAAUCACCGCAGUCCCCAAAAUCACAUCCAAUAAAAAUUUAUUCCUUGUUAAAAAAUCAUGAACAAGUCUAGCCUUUUGUAUAGACCCCAGUUUCGCACAAGCAUAAACAACACUCACCAUAGCCGUAUUAUCCAGCACAACACCUGCCCCUCUCAUCCUCUCGAAUAAAUCCCAGGAUUCAUUAGCAUUUCCGGACUCCGCACACGCACCCAUCAUCACUGUCCAAGUGACAAGGUCCCUACUUGGCAUUUGAUCAAACAACUGCCUAGCAUCAUCAAUAACUUUACACUUAGCAUACAUAUCAACAAGAGCUGCACAUACAAACUGAUCUAUAUCCAACCCAGAUUUCAGAACAAUGUCAUGAAUCAAUCUUCCCAUUACAAUAUCCUUUCUAUCUCUACAAGCCCUAAUGACGAAAGGCAAAGUAUAGCUAUCUAAUUGCAUGCCACAUCUAAUAAAUUCCCUAAAAGUCUCAAAACAGUUUAUAAAAUCACCAACUUUAGAAAACCCUCCAACCAUUACACUCCAAGAAACUGAAUCUCUCUCUUUCAUCCCAUUGAAUAAUGCAUGAGCAUCAGUUAAGGCUUUGUGUAGGGCGUAAAUAUAAAGCAGUUUGUUUGCAACAAUGAGAUUAGUUAGAGUACCACUGGCAACAAUUUGGGCAUGCACUUGUCUUAUCUGAAAAAUGUUUCUACAGCUAAGUAGUGAAGAGAUAAUAAACUUUGGAUCGACAGAGCGUGUAAAUUGACAAUCUGGUACCGUUUGCAUGGGGGCUCGUGGGUUUAUGGGAUUUUGUUCAUGACCAUGAGGUUCCAAUGGGAUAGCAGCAGUUGUGGAAGAUGAGAAAAAGCGAAUCUUUGCACUCGUAGAGAGAAUGAAGCCAUGCUUUUUGAGUUUAGACAUUGGAUUUGGAAUUGAACGAGUCAAAACAAUCAGAAAUCAUAUGAAUCUUUUAUAAUUUUUGAUUGUGUUAGAGUGCGGGCUGAACAAAUUAACAAAUAGAAAUAGAAAAAGAAAAUAAUGAAGAUGGUUCUUUUAAUUAUAAAUAAAUGAAUCAUUCCAAAUAACGCCAUGUUUACUUCAAAGCCAACCAGAAUGGAAGAAGCCAUGAUAUUUCUUAAUGCAUCCCAGUACUCUCAAUAUGAAACUUAAAAACCUAACUGUGGAGUGUACCUCAAUUUACAUUCUUCUAAUUUAACCACAAUAUUAAAUCCCAAGAUGGGAUUUAUUCAUACUAGAGAAAUUACAAACUAGCAACCCUCCGCCUGUGCUUUUCUGAAACAUUACAAUCAUCAUUUUGCGAUAAUAAACAAGGUACACUAGUGAUACAGAAACAAAAAAUUUCCAUGAGACCGCGCCGAGUUUAGUUGAUUUGGGAAAGGGGCGAUCGUGGUAUCAGAGACGGUUUUAAUUCCUUCACGUCAAAUGAUUCAUACGAAUUGUUUUCCCGGAAUUCCUCUAGCAGGGUCUCCAUUGGCAUGGCUCUAAGUGACUCGAUAGUACCUUUACUAGGUACCUCCGAUUCACAUCUUGUAGGAGUUGUACCAGUAUGCUCAUAAUCCUGCACAUAAUUUUCAACAUUUGAACCAAAUUAUUUUGAGUAAUUUUGUUCAAGUCAGUGUUGAUAAAAGAAGAAAAAAAAAAUUAAGUUGAAUACUAUACCAUAUAUCGUUGCUGGAAGGUUUCUUGAGCCUUCUCUUUUAUUGAUGCCGACUGGGCAGAGUGACUCUCCCGGAAAAGAUUGAUCGUCUUUUCAUGAGCCUUUACAUCAUCCAAAACUUCAGCUAUUGAUGCCUGCUCCUGCUCUGAUGCACCUGAACCACAUUCGAAAAUCAAAAUAUCACACCUCCAACUACAAUUAUUAUUGGUCAUUUUACUAGUAUGAUACUUUUUAAAUUUUACGUUUUAAAUGAAAUUGAACAAGAUUAUCACUAAUAAACUCAAGAUCCUUUUAAGACAAACUCACUAGAAAUGAGCUGAAGGGCAUCUUCGCUGCUUUUAGCCACUUCUUCCUCCGUGGCAACUCGAGCUGUGUCAACCUCAACAUCAUGCUGCUCAUUACUAUAAGAAGCAUUCCUGUAGCAAAUAAUUGAAAAUUUAACCUACCGCAGUGGAUAUGAAAGCACAUGGUUCUAAAUAUUAAACAAAAUGAUGAUAACUGUUCUAGUCACAGUCUCAAAUCUCAAUGACCAAAAAUAUGGUUGUAUCCACUAAUUCCAGUUGGAACUGAUUGUUAGUACUUAUUAGUCACAGUUGAUGUUUAAUCUACUACAAUCAUAUGUGGAAUUUAAAGUGUGUACAGAUUAAGCAAGACUAAUACAAAGCCUUAUCUGUUUACUGAGGGAAAAUACAAAGCCUGCCGAUCACCGACCUGGCAAGCGAAAUCAUGCUCGAUACAUGUUUACUCUCCAUCUCAUUCACUGAUUCAUAUGUCCUCUUCCAAUGCCCAAAAGCUGACUCACCAGAGUUUACACUAAAACAAGCACAAUUUUAGGAAAGCUAAUAAAGAAGGAUUUAAGGAAAUGGAUCCAGACCAAUAUGCAGUAAUACAAACAAACCUACCACUCCUGUAGAAGCAAUUCCAUUCUACAAUGUUUGGCAGAAGAGUGGUCAGCACCAUCGUUGGCAUCGUUGUCAGCUUGCGUGGCAAAUGCCUGCCAUUUUCGCUUAGCAUCAUUAGUUAUGCCCUCCACUGAUGAAACAUGUCCGUCUAAAAAUAGCUUGCUUGAAACAGCAUUUUCUCUAAAAUCAACAAGCCUUGCGUCCACCUGUAUUUUCACCAUGAGUCUUUCUUCAGCCAUAUUAAUAGAUAUUAGAACAGAAUAAUGAAAAAGGAGAAAGCAUGGACAAACCAAUUCUUUUUGACGACGCAUGUGACUAGAGACUAGGCUAGUCACAUCAGCAAUAAGCUUCUCUGUAUCAGAUUUUGUUUGCUCCUGCACAGAAUACACUAGAGAAGUUAGAAACAGCAAUAUAAUGUCUACCUGAUCAUAAAAAUGUACAUCAUACCUCAUAAGCCUUCUGAAAAUCAGCAAUGCUCUUCAUUUGAUUCUCAUCAGCUUGCACAGCAUAAUUUUCUAAUGAUUUUGACUCUUCCAAAAGCUUCUGUAGAAAUCCAUUAGUGUGUUCAGCAAUGUCCUUUGUUCGCUCAAUGGUAACUUGGAACCUCUGUUGGAUUUCAAAAAGGCACGGCAUAUUAAAGAUUUAGAUCUAACAGUUGAAAUAAAAAAGAAAAAGCAACCACAAAGAAUUAUGAUAGAUACACGAUGCAACAAUAAUGAACAACCAUAAUCAACACGGAAUAAUUGGUUAAUUGCAAAAAGAUUUGAAGUUGUUUCUCAACAGAUAAACAUUUAGACAAUCAAAGUGAAGAAAAUAUAGAUCAAAGAUUGUACAAAUGAUAAAGGAUUCCAUCUAAAAUACCAGCACAGAAACAAGCUAAAGAUCAACAUAAAAACCUGACGCAUUUCCCUUGCAAAGAUAGCCAUUUCUCCUUGUUGAGUCGAAAGAGUAGUCUGAAGAUUUUCAUAUAUUGAAGCAGCUUCUCUAGCCUCUGAUGCUAGAAACUGAUUAAUAGAAAAAAAUGUGGAGUAGUAAAUUAUUAGAGGGAGCCAAAUCAUCAUAUAAUUAUGGUGCAGAAAAGGAAACAGAGAAACACAAUGCAUUGUUUCUGGAACAACUGUUACAUACUUCUUUAAUAGAUUCUGAAUUAGAAGAAGCAAAAGCCGAAAUUUCCUCUAAAUUCGCAUUUGAGCAGGCCUUAUGCAAACGCACAACAUUUUGUACUGCCUCCAUGUGAGAGCAGUACAAAGCCCUUGAUGCUGUUACUUUCUUCUUCAAAUCAAUAACCGCCUAAUGACAAGGUUUAGAGGUAAAAGAACAAGUUGGUUACAAAGUUUUAUUAGUCUUAAUUGCUAAAAAGAAAAAGAACAGAACAUAAAAACAAUAUAACACUAGAAAUCUAUGACAACAAACAGCUUUAAAUGUAACCAAACUAUAUCAAAUACCUUUUCAUGUAUGCCUAAAAGAGAAUGGCAAAGUUUCUCAACAUGUUUAAGAUGUUCAUUUUGUUGACACGUAGAUAAGUCCAAAAUGUCGCAAAGAGAACCAAUUUGCUGAGCAAGCUCAACUUGGAAAUUUUCAACAACUGAUCUGUUAUCGGCAUUCAGUUUGUCUUCUCUUCCUGUAACAAACCAUCUCAGAGUCAGAUGUUUUGUUACUGAUGAAAAAGAUUUACUGAUUAUAACUGAAGGAAAAGCUAAAUACCUAUCUUUUGAAAAAGCAACACAUUAUCCUGAAGGGCUUUCUCCAAGUUACCCCGCAAAGUGCAAGCUUGAUGAGUCAAAGCAUUUUCUGUUUCAUCAAAAGAAAUUAAACAUGAUAAUAAUUUAUAAAACAUAAUCAAAAUUUUAAGAAGAAAGUUUAUACAGACCUGCUUUUUUCUGUUCAGAAAUAAUAAAAUCCUUCUCUUUUAAAGCAUAUUGACACUUCUUCAAUUGUUCCUCCGCGUUAUUAAGCAAUUUUAUUGUUUGGUCAAGGUUACUCUGCAUUUAUUACAUAUUCUAUAAGAAACCAGGAAUAAAUCCAGAAAGAUAAAUAACCAAAAACGUAUCAGAAAACUCACCUCAGUUAAUUCAAGUUUGGUAGUCAAAUCUGAGCAUUGCCGAACCUGGCAAUCGUAUUUGUCUUGCAACUCCUCGAGUUGCUGGUUUUAGGAAUAUACCAAAAUGUGAUAAGUUAAAAUUUGUCUAUCAUGUCAGAAAUUUGCAUGGCAUAUGUGCCAAUUAUUAAAUCUGAAAUUAACAACAAAUAGACUAACCUUCUGAUGGGUUUCUAACUGAACACCCAUUUGUUCAAUCUGAUCAGCCAUUGCCUAAAUGCAAGAAAGAGAACACUAGGGUCGGAUGAGUAUUCUAAAUAUUGGGUGGACAAAUGGAACUUCACAAACAAGUAUCCAUAGCAGUAUAUGUAUAUAUGCACUGCUUAAAUUUAGGAAUGAUGCAAUACCUUUCUCUCACUCUCCUCCUGAUAGUAUCGUUCCUUUGGGAUAUAGACACCAUUUUUCUCACGUGCAGCGUAAACCUCUGGAGACAAUGUUAAAUAGAGUUAACAUCUUAACCCAUUAUGCAUUACACAGAACAAUUACUUGCUUUCAUGCAUUUUCGCCACCGACUACUGUGAAAAGCAUCUCACCUGCCUUAAGUCGAUCAAUUUCACCAUAAAGGUCUUUUAUAAGAGUUGAUUUCAUCAUCUUUUGGUUGACCUACAAACAGCAAUUAACAAAGAAGGAACUCAUGAGAAUACAUUUAAUAAUAUAGACAUCAUUACCCGAUAUAUGAGAAAUCAUGAUCUUUAUACACGCAAAUAGAACAGGGACAAACCUCAGGUUUAUUCUUAAUAUUCUUUGCCCUGUGUGCAUAGUCCAAUGUACUCAAGGUCUCCUCCAGACAAUGAACAGCUGGUGAAACUGUAGCUAUAAUGCAUGUCUUGGUUCUUCCACCGAGAGAAUCACGAAGUAACCGUGUUAGCUUGCUAUCCCUGAAACACAAUUCAACCUUACACUCAGAUUCAAUAAUAAUCAGAUUAUGGAGACAAUCAAAAUUACAUAAAAAUGUUGCUUAAACCUGUAUGGAAUAUGACCAAGAUGCUCUACAAGUGCAUUAAUCACUCGCCCUAGAGUAAGUAAGCUUUUGUUAAUUUCACCAGCUUCCCUUGCACGACCCUAUUAAACAAUAAGAUCAAAUCAAUGCAUUAACAAUUUCAGCUUUUCCACAUUAAAAUUCAAAAUCUAAUAUGAAUUUUCACAAAAAGCUAAUUGUACAUUACCUCUCUAGCACCAGAUCGUGAUAUAUUUUCAGAGCCAGCUAAAUCAACUAAAUUUAACUUGCCACACUUUAUAAGUUCUUCUCCUUCUGGUGUUGCUUCCUUGAUAUGUAUUGUAAUGGAAAACAAAGAAUGCGAUCGACUGAAACAUAGGAUAGAUUCUUAGUAAUAUAGAAAUUUCAACUUUGACUUUAAACACGAAAAUAGCCAAAUCAGCUACCUUGAUUGCUUGUUUAACAAAGUUUCAGCAGUUCGGCGUUUUGCAGACCCUCGCUCCAAUAGAGUAAAAAUUUCACUCGCACUAGUGACAAUUUCCUCCUCCAGACCCCUUACAAGUACUCCACCUUUUCCAUCCUCCAUAAGAGGUAAUUGUUUCUUUUGCUUAUCCUCAACAGCAGCCCUUGAAAUUUCAUCUGGGGCAAGCAGAUCAGUGAUCUCCUCAUUGUAUAACUCUAAGAAAGUGACUUUCACACUGUACUCUGCAUUUUGACUCUCAAGAGUAUCAAAAAUUUGCUGAACAGCUCUGGGUAUAACCCCUGCUUCUGGAGGUAAUUCUCCAUUGGGCCCACUCUGUCUCAUUGAACAUAACUACCAAAUGUAAGAUUCAUUGACAAAGAGAAGAAAGGGUAUUUGCAAGAAUCUAACAACAGGACACAUAGUAUACCUUCGACCUUUUGCAUUCCCCCUCCAUUGUGUAUGUCUUCCCUGUUCCAGUUUGACCAUAUGCAAAUAUGGUGCAAUUGAAACCUUCUAAAACUUCAUUCACAAUUGGAACCACCGCUUGUUCAUAAAGAUCUCUCUGCUGAGCUGAGGGACCAAAAACCUACACAAUCCUUAAAUACAACUUCAGAAUCGACCACAAAAUAACACAUUGAAAUAUAACUUCCUAACACAGCAUACUCUGAGAAAACAUAUUUACCAAAACCUAUUAAAGCUCUACUAGAUAAGAACUAGAUCAAAAGUUUAGUGGAACAAGGUAUAUUCACCAAACAGAAGGCAUCCAAUCAACAAACAAAGGCACUAUUCAUGUCACAGUAAGGCCACAGAUCGAAUUAAAAGAAUCCCAACUAAGACAUUCCACAAUAACCAUUCACUUUUAAUGUGACAUAGACCUUCCCAAGGACAAACAGUUAUCAUUCACAAACUAUAAAUAAUACCAUUAAUUACAACUGAAACUUUACUCAAAUCAAACUAACUACAUUGACUUUUCAAUGAUUGUUGAUAAGUGUGAUUAAUAUGGAAGACAUUUUCACAAAAUUUCUGUUUAGCAACAGUGCCUGGAAUUGAAGUUCAACCAUAGCAUAAACAAUGAUCCAUAAGUAAAACUUAUCUUAAUCCAAAAACAAAGUUACUAAUAUUUGACCAAACUUAGUAAUAUGAAGUCCGUACAGGCGUUCAAAUCACAAAUGAAUUAGCUUAAUUACUUAAUUUUCAAAUCCAAAACAAAAAAUAACUGAAUUUAAAAAGAAAUUACCUUAUCGAAAGUAAAAACCCUAUCGAUAUGCUUCCCGGCAAUACUCUGCGAAACAGCGACUUCUCUUUGAUACUCAUUACAAGUCACCACUUGCGGCGCGUUAUUUUUCAACUCUUCUUCACUAAACGGCCUGAGAAACCACUCAAAACGAGAGAACCAUCAGCAAUUACAUUAACAAUCAAAAUAGAAGGAAACAUCGAAGCACGAAACCCUAACGGUCACCUGCAACGGAGAAGUACUUGGACGUUAACGCCUUUCUCUUUUUCGUGGCGACCCGACAUUUUGAACCGGCGAUUAGCGGGAGAAUCGCACGAACCUAUCGUGUUACUUGUUAAUUUUUGCUCAGAUCUUCUUCGAAUGUGAGAUUUUGAAACUUUUUUUUAUUUUUAUUUUUUUCAAAAUCUAUCUCUGUCUCUCUUCCUAUCUCCGGAAUCGAAUCUGAAAUGAGAGAGAGCGGGCUGAAGUGAGAUUUUGAAUUUUUUGGGGAGCCGCUCGCUUGGUUAUUUAUUCAACGGUUGAUUUUUUAGGGCUGUUGAUCGACGGUCUACGUUUGUGCUAAAUUUGAAUUUGGUUGAUUUGACUAAAGUACCCUGAAAUGUAUGCCUAAUCUAAGUCUUUGACAACAAAAUUGGGCUUCGGCCAUAAGACUAGCCUCGGCCCAAAAAUACAAUACUUUGGGCCGACCCAAUAUUUUUUACCCGACCUACGUGGAACAUAAACAGUGAUGGGAACAAAAAUCUCUUGCAAAACAAGAAUCAAGGGCGUGCCUACUGCCUUGCAACGGAAAAGCCCAAAAACUCAUUAAAAUGUCGGGUAUGGAAAAUGUAAUAGAAUUUUUUUUUUUUCAAAAAUUAGAAUAUUAAUUAAUGUCAGGUCCUAACAAUCGUUUCUUAAGUAUUCAUAUAAUUCCAAAGUGGCGGGUAGAUCAAGCAAUAACUAUAUCCCGGAGUAAAAUUAGCAAAACAAUUUUGUCAAAGCAGAUAUCAACUGACACACAUUCUUUAUUUGGUCGACAGAACAAUGCUGAAUUUAAUCAAAUUCGGCGCAAAUUUAAAAGUCGGUGGCCGGUGGGGCAGUGGCUAGAAUUAUUGCAGUAAGAUGAAAUAUAUUUCGGUAAAGUUAAUUAAAAUAAAACGACAGGAAAUUGCAUGUGCAAAGUUGGAUAAAAGUUGAAGUUCAACUGUGAUGUGAUUUUUACAUCAAUAUUAUACACAGUGCAGUUAAUGCCAUUAGCGAUACCAUCAUCAGCUUCCCAAAUGGGUAGAAAAAUAGUUACUGUAAACCUGCUAAAGUUCAAAGAAGUGAUUGUAUCACUGUCAGUACCACUAUAUAAGCAUUGUGCAAGCUACUGCAUAUGUACCAAUCACUUGUAGAAAUGAUGAUGGAGCCUAAGGGAGGUCGAAUAGCCAGCGGCACUGAGUAUAGUUGGUGUCGAGCCGUGCCAGGCGGCACCGGCAUCGCCGUCUUGGCCAUCCUUACAUCCAAGGUGCCUGAAACCUCCGGGCUUCAAGAUGCCCUAAACAAGCUACAAAGCUACCAUCCAAUACUGAGGUCUAGGCUUCAUACAAACCCUAGCAAAAACACUUUCUCUUUUGUCACAUCCCCUACUACAUUUAUUCAAGUGAAGUCAUUCAACCUCUCAUCAACUUCUAAAAUCUUAGAAAGUUCAGAAAGAUUUUCUAUUGCACCCCUACAACUUAUUCUUGAACACGAGCUUAAUGAAAAUGCCUGGUGCAACCUCAAGUGCACUAGUACAACUGACAUGUUGUACGCGAGUUCUUAUGCGUUACCUGAUGCAAAGUGGGUGGUGGCGCUGCGGCUUCAUGUCGCGGCGUGUGACCGGACAACGGCGGUGUCUUUGCUUAAAGAGUUGUUGUUGGUGCUAGUUAGCGAUGAUGACCAAGAACCAGAAGGGAGAGGGGAGGUUAAUUUGGCAAUUGAGGCUCUUAUUCCUAAAGGAAAGGCUAAAAAGGCUUUGUGGGCAAGAGGAAGGGACAUGCUUACCUACUCAGUGAAUUCACUCAAGUCCACAAAUUUGAAGUUCAUUGAUGCAAAGUCGCCAAGAUCUUCUCAAGUCGUGAGGCUUCAGCUGAACAAAGAUGACACUGAACGAAUACUUCUUGUGAGCUUAAUUUUAUUUAAAAGUACAAUGUUAAUUUAUUUUCUUUAUACCUCGUUGAUAACGAAUUUUUGCAGACCUGUAAGUCAAGAGGAAUCAAGCUAUGUGGGAUGCUGGCAGCGGCAGGAUUAAUAGCUGCACAUAAUUCUGAUAAUCAAAGAAAGUACGCUGUGGCAACCCUCACGGAUUGCCGAUCAAUUAUUGAGCCGCCUCUUUCUAAUCACCGUUUCGGUAAGUUGAUUAACAAUUAGACCUAAAUUAACACGAUUUAGCUCUGUUGAUGAUCUAUCUCUUCGAAGACAAAAAAAGAUUGGCUAAUUUGGUAACGAAUUGGUUUCAAAACUCAGUGUUUCUGUACAAAAUAUUUUUGCAACUAGUCGGUAACAAAUCAUGAUAUUUAUUAUACUGUGAGUAGCAAAAGAAAAAUUGUACACUUUGAGGUUUUGGUCUGCAUACAGAUGGCCCAUGAAGAGUAGGGUACCAUAUGCAUGCAUCUAGGUAUUGAAUUCAAUUUAAUUAGUCAUGUACACAUGAAGCCCCACAUUUUCCAAUUCUUAAGAAUCUGCAAUUCGCCAAGGUUCAUAAGCGUAAUUAAUACCAUAUGCAGUUAAGGUAGGAUUGAAAAACCUCAGUUUUAAUAAAGAGUCAAACUUUGUGGGUACAGCUUCAAAUUUCAGCAUAUCACAUGACUCUAUUCAUUUUAUAAUAAUAUAAUUGUGUAAGGGCAGGCAUCUCCCUCCAUUAAUACAAACUAAGUGUGCAUCUGGUCAUAAAUGAGGGUAGAGGACUAGAUGGGAUGUGGUCGUAAAAGUUUGGAGACUUAAUACAAUUAACUGAAUUAAGUGUGCAUAUGGUCAUUAAAAGUUUUAUUUGUGCAGGUUUUUAUCACUCAGCAAUAAUGAAUACACAUUUGAUCAAAAGUGGAGAAAAGCUUGGGGAUCUAGCCAAGAAAAUAUACACUGCCUUUGUAAAUUCAAAGCAUUGCAACAGGCAUUUCUCAGACAUGGCUGAUCUCAACUUCCUCAUGUGCAAGGCAAUUGAAAACCCUAGCUUGACCCCAGCAUCGUCCUUACGAUCAUCGUUCAUGUCAGUUUUUGAAGACUCAGUGUUUGAUAGUUCUAAUGAAAUGCAGCAACAAGUAGGGCUAGAGGACUACAUGGGAUGUGCUUCGGUUCAUGGCAUUGGCCCGUCCAUUGCGUUGUUCGACACGAUUCGCGACGGACGGCUAGAUUGCGUGUGUGUUUAUCCUUCGCCGCUGCAUUCGAGGGAGCAAAUGCAAGAGCUGGUUGAGAAAAUGAAGAGUGUUCUUGUGCAGAAUGUGGGAUAGCUAGAAAUGCUGAUGUGGUACUUUUAUGGGUUCGUGCUCUAUGUUGGGCACCUUGGGUUAUCUCGUUAUUAUGAUGUUAAAUGAAUUUAAUGUUUACCAUCUUUUGAGCAUUAUUAAUUAUAAUGGAUAAUGUUUUGUAAUUUUGUGAAAUUUUUAUUUUAUGAUAUUUAAUCAGCAUAAAAGAUUAUAUUAUUAAU